rnacentral:lncRNA from 10 species
CUUUUGUCUGAUUGCUGUUCUUUUCACUAGAAAAACUGCUGGUAUGUAAAGGUCUUUCCUCUCACAGUGUUAGAGUUUCCAGAGAAGCAUUGACUGAAACUUUUCUUCAAGGAAAAAAGAAGACAACAGCUGAGACAAUGUGAAAACCAGGGAGCCAAUCAGUAAGCUUCCCCUCAGCCACGCAGGAUGGAAGACACAGCUCUUGGAUGCUAACAACCACUAGCUGCCCCGACUUCCUAAAGCCCAGAGGCUUGUGAGGGUUUUGCAGGAAGCAGACACCAUCACCAUCAAAGAUAUACCACACAGGUAAAUGCCUUCUGGGACAUCAUCUCCUCUGCAAGUGGUCAAAAUGGAUUCCACAACCUUACAAGGCUGUCCUUCACUCUUGAUCCAUCCAUGGAGACCUUCAGCAGAAUUUAGUGACACCUGAAUAUGGUGUGUAUUUCAUUCCAGGCAAUCAGCCACUCCCGAAACAACUACUAUUCUGAUUAAAAUCACCAUGGAUGACUUUGUCUGUUCUAGAAAUUCAUGCAAUUAAACAGUAUGUACUUUUUUGGGUCUGGCUUCUUUCACUAAAUAUAAUGUUUUCAGAUUCUUCCAUGUUAAGUUAUUUUCUCUCUUUUAUAUUUAAUAGAAUUCCAAUGUUUGAACCUGCCACAGAACAUUUAUCAUUUUACCUAUUGACUGAUAAUUUUGGCUUUUUUGCAUAAAAUUGCUGUAAACAUUCACGUACAGGAAGUUUUGCAGACAGACAUAUGCAUGUUAUUUCUCAUAAUCAAAAUCCUGAGGGGUAUUGUUGGGUCAUAUGCCAAAUAGGUAUUUGUUUGAAUUUUUUUAAGGUAACAACUUAUUUUCUGAAUUGAUGGUUCCGUUUUACACUUCUACAAGCAAUGUAUGAGAGUUUUAGCUGUUCUUUACCCUCACUAAUAAUUUCAGCUGUCAGACUUUAAAUUUCAGUUAUUCUAGUAGGUGUGUUGCAGUAUCCCAUCAUGGUUUUAGUUGGUAUUUUCUUGAUGAAUAAUGCCUGUAACUCAUUGGCCA